rnacentral:rRNA from 1 species
GACGAACGCUGGCGGCGUGCUUAACACAUGCAAGUCGAGCGGUAAGGCCCUUUCGGGGGUACGACGAGCGGCGAACGGGUGAGUAACACGUGGGUGACCUGCCCUCAGCUCUGGGAUAAGCCUGGGAAACCGGGUCUAAUACUGGAUAUGACUCCAUGACGCAUGUUGUGGGGUGGAAAGCCUUGUGCGGCUGAGGAUGGGCCCGCGGCCUAUCAGCUUGUUGGG